rnacentral:RNase_P_RNA from 1 species
CGAGCCGGGCGGACGGCCGCGUCGGGACUCAUGGGUCCCGCCGAGGAACGUCCGGGCUCCACAGAGCAGGGUGGUGGGUAACGCCCACCCGGGGUGACCCGCGGGACAGUGCCACAGAAAACAGACCGCCGGGGACCUCGGUCCUCGGUAAGGGUGAAACGGUGGUGUAAGAGACCACCAGCGCCUGAGGUGACUCAGGCGGCUCGGUAAACCCCACCCGGAGCAAGGUCAAGAGGAGCCGCUUCGCGGCGGCUCUGCGCGGAUGUUCGAGGGCUGCUCGCCCGAGUCCGCGGGUAGACCGCACGAGGCCGGUGGCAACACCGGUCCUAGAUGGAUGGCCGUCUCUCGACGGGCCGCGAGGCCCGCCGAUGACAGAACCCGGCGUACAGCCCGACUCGUCUG